rnacentral:sRNA from 1 species
UGAAAACUACAAACUACUACAAAGUUGC